AGCAACAGUUGACAUGGAUUAGACACUGAGAUUGCUUAACUACUGGAAAUAAUUAGCUUAUUUAUUUAUUACUAUUUCUGCCUACUGCUGUGGCUGUUUACCCUACUAUAGUUUGUUCCCCCUUGAUGCGUGACGUCACACAAGCAAGAUCCCGCCCCCAUUUUACUGCUGGCUGAGUAGCAUUGGUUUUACCUGUUAAGUUAUCAAUAUAACGUGCUAAGUCUUGAAUCUACGCCUGACAUAUGAAAGAAAAGGUGGCACAGUGCUUUGCUACAAAUUGCCAACACUACAACAACUUGAUGACAAGGUCUGGUUCUCAGCACAAGUGUUUUGGCCACUACUCAGGCAGAAGCCGAACACACUGACUGAGCAUGUGUUGCACGUCAGAGACUCCACUGAAAGAAACAAGUAUACAGACGGAGACCAGGACGGCUCCGGUGAUGGCGGCGGACAUCUUGGUGGUCGGGGCGCCGCUCAGCGUGACGGGGUUGCACCGGUAACAUCGUUUACACUGCAACCCUGGUUGCUGAAGCCAGCAAAGCUUGUGAUGGAAGGGAAACCUGCGGAGAAGAUUGUAGCAGACCGUUUCGUUGGCGCCACAUGUCACAUUAGCCGGGUUCAAGCAGACGCCAAACACGCUGACGGAGCAUUUGUUGCAGGUCAGCGACUCCACUGAAACAGAAGACACAGAAACAUAACAGUUUAAUUAAAAACUUAAAUAACA